rnacentral:rRNA from 1 species
AGAUUGAACGCUGGCGGCAUGCUUUACACAUGCAAGUCGAACGGCAGCGGGGGCUUCGGCCUGCCGGCGAGUGGCGAACGGGUGAGUAAUGCAUCGGAACGUACCCAUGUGGUGGGGGAUAGCUCGGCGAAAGCCGGAUUAAUACCGCAUACGCCCUGAGGGGGAAAGCGGGGGACCUGAGAGGGCCUCGCGCCAUUGGAGCGGCCGAUGUCGGAUUAGCUAGUAGGUGGGGUAAAGGCUCACCUAGGCAUCGAUCCGUAGCUGGUCUGAGAGGAUGAUCAGCCACACUGGGACUGAGACACGGCCCAGACUCCUACGGGAGGCAGCAGUGGGGAAUUUUGGACAAUGGGCGCAAGCCUGAUCCAGCCAUGCCGCGUGAGUGAAGAAGGCCUUCGGGUUGUAAAGCUCUUUCAGUCGGGAAGAAACGGCGCGCUCUAACAUAGCGCGUCAAUGACGGUACCGACACAAGAAGCACCGGCUAACUAC